AAGACCUUUGAAGCGUUGCACCAGGUCAAGAAUUAGUGAGGAUAUCGAUCUGAACACUGACACAUUACAGAUCUCACUGAGAAGCUCAAAUGGAGCUAACUUGAUAGAUCCCUGUGUGGCUGGAGCAGUGUAAACCAACAGAGUGUUGAGACAGGUUUUAUCUUGGUUCCCAGAGUGAAUAUCAAGUAGCAAUAGACCUUUAAUUUUAAUGCUUCUAUGUUUCUCUAGUAUUU
rnacentral:lncRNA from 10 species